GAUGAACGCUGGCGGCGUGCCUAAUACAUGCAAGUCGAGCGAACGGACGAGAAGCUUGCUUCUCUGAUGUUAGCGGCGGACGGGUGAGUAACACGUGGAUAACCUACCUAUAAGACUGGGAUAACUUCGGGAAACCGGAGCUAAUACCGGAUAAUAUUUUGAACCGCAUGGUUCAAAAGUGAAAGACGGUCUUGCUGUCACUUAUAGAUGGAUCCGCGCUGCAUUAGCUAGUUGGUAAGGUAACGGCUUACCAAGGCAACGAUGCAUAGCCGACCUGAGAGGGUGAUCGGCCACACUGGAACUGAGACACGGUCCAGAAUCCUACGGGAGGCAGCAGUAGGGAAUCUUCCGCAAUGGGCGGAAGCCUGACGGAGCAACGCCGCGUGAGUGAUGAAGGUCUUCGGAUCGUAAAACUCUGUUAUUAGGGAAGAACAUAUGUGUAAGUAACUGUGCACAUCUUGACGGUACCUAAUCAGAAAGCCACGGCUAACUACGUG
rnacentral:rRNA from 1 species